rnacentral:rRNA from 1 species
GGGCGUGGCGGAGUCUUACAUGCAGUCGAACGGUGAAGCAGGAGCUUGCUCUUGUGGAUCAGUGGCGAACGGGUGAGUAACACGUGAGCAACCUGCCCCGAACUCUGGGAUAAGCGCUGGAAACGGCGUCUAAUACCGGAUACGCACCAGAGCGGCAUCGUUACUGGUGGGAAAGAUUUAUUGGUUCGGGAUGGGCUCGCGGCCUAUCAGCUUGUUGGUGAGGUAACGGCUCACCAAGGCGUCGACGGGUAGCCGGCCUGAGAGGGUGACCGGCCACACUGGGACUGAGACACGGCCCAGACUCCUACGGGAGGCAGCAGUGGGGAAUAUUGCACAAUGGGCGCAAGCCUGAUGCAGCAACGCCGCGUGAGGGAUGACGGCCUUCGGGUUGUAAACCUCUUUUAGCAGGGAAGAAGCGAAAGUGACGGUACCUGCAGAAAAAGCGCCGGCUAACUACGUGCCAGCAGCCGCGGUAAUACGUAGGGCGCAAGCGUUAUCCGGAAUUAUUGGGCGUAAAGAGCUCGUAGGCGGUCUGUCGCGUCUGCUGUGAAAACCCGAGGCUCAACCUCGGGCCUGCAGUGGGUACGGGCAGACUAGAGUGCGGUAGGGGAGAUUGGAAUUCCUGGUGUAGCGGUGGAAUGCGCAGAUAUCAGGAGGAACACCGAUGGCGAAGGCAGAUCUCUGGGCCGUAACUGACGCUGAGGAGCGAAAGGGUGGGGAGCAAACAGGCUUAGAUACCCUGGUAGUCCACCCCGUAAACGUUGGGAACUAGUUGUGGGGGCCUUUCCACGGUCUCCGUG